AAUUAAACAUGGAAGGAAAACCCCAAAAUCGACUGCAGGAGGUCAGUGCAGAUGAAAUAGGACGCCUAAUCCAAGCUGUUGCCCUUUAUUGUGGGAUUUCCCCGACAAGAAGCAAUUCCACAAAAGGGGCAAAUUCGUAGAAUAGUUGAAGUGCAGGAUGAGAUCCACUAAAGAAUCCCAGUGGGUAGAAACAUGCCGAGUGGGACUUCGAUCUCUACAUGGACAUCCUUCCGGGCGCGUCCUCGCAAACAAACACUUAGGACUCCGGAUACCACCGCCACCAGCUACUUGGCAGCUUAAGCGGAGAUGGAGGACCCGCUGGCUUCUAAAGGGAGGGAGAAAAUAGGGCGCCCGCUAAGGAACAGUUGGAGAAGCCAUAGUCAGCCCCUGCCAGGAUGCUGGGCGACUUCCUGCAGCAUCAGCGGAUCAACCACGUUCUUCCACUUCCUCAAGGCCCAAUAUGCCCAUUGGGACUCGGAGCUGGACUGCGGUGGCGCGGAAAGACUGCGAAGCAUCCGUAGGACGAGAAGGAAGCUUUAAGCUACUAAUUUACAAAAAUAAAAACAUUCUUUGAACGUUC